UCACGGUGAGGAUGCGUACACCGGAUAUUGCCAUUAAGUGAUAAGGUAUUUUCCGAAAACGUGAUUAUUUUUCGUCAACAAGAUGGCAUUAGACUUCACAGCGAAAAUAACAAGCACCAGUUUGAACACUGAUAUUACAA